rnacentral:rRNA from 1 species
UUUAGCUUGGUAUUAAGUAAUCCUUAAUUGGGACAUCAUCUGUUAAAAUGCGUAGAUUCAACUGUAUUCCAAUAUUAGUGUGUUAAAUAUUAUACCUACAAUUUAUGUCCAAGAACCGAAUAGACGUCUGACUGACAAAAGCAUAUAUUGGGAAUUAUUAUACUAGGGAGAGGAACUCGGCAAAUAAUAAGCUCGCCUGUUUACCAAAAACAUCGCUUUUAGAUAGCUAUUAAAAGUCUUAUCUGCCCGGUGUAUUAUUAACGGCCGCGGUAUCUUGACUGUGCUAAGGUAGCAUAAUCACUUGCCCUUUAAAUGGGGGAAUGUAUGAAUGAUUAGACGAAGUUUAAGCUGUCUUUCCCUUUAUAAUCGAGAUUUCAUCGCUUGUGAAAAUGCAAGCAGACACUCAAAGGACGAGAAGACCCUGUUGAGUUUCUGAGCGUAACAAAAGUACAUAUUAACUAAAUAACACUAGAUAAAACAUAGUACCUAAAGUAAAGCUCUUUGGCUGGGGUGGCACGCAAAGAAAUUAAGCUUUCCGUAAAUAUUCUUGAAGUUAAAGACUCCUUAGGUCAAUAACCCUUCUACCGACCCGCUACUAGCGAUUCAAAGACCAAAUUACCACAGGGAUAACAGCGUUAUUCUUUUUGAGAGCUCAAAUUGACAAAAGAGUUUGCGACCUCGAUGUUGGAUCAAGACUCCUGGUGGUGCAACCGUUACCACGGGUUUGCCUGUUCGGCGAUUAAAAUCUUACGUGAUCUGAGU